AAACAUUCCAGUAGGGAAACAGUUCACUGCAGUGGCCAUCAACGCUAUGGAGGAGUACAAGGUCCCACCUGUGCAUGAUCUCAGGAGGUUAAGCUUUAACAGGGAAGGGAGUUCUCAUCUCGAGUCCCACCUUUGACUCUCAGGUAGAAGCUGCCUUUGCACAAACCAGACCAACUGUUUGGUGUAAGUGGCGGCAUAUGAUGCAAACCCAGCAGGUGAAGUCGAUGUUUCUCUCCCAUUCUGAUCACUCUGGUCUCUGUAUGUGUUAAUUCUGUGUUGUUCUCACAAACAAGUUUCCAUAUAAACCAGCCGAAAGGGGAACAAAAGGCAAAGGCCAGCUGGGCGGCCUGCAUUGUUCACGGGCUUCCCAGGUGCCUUCCGUGCAGACUUAGUGGUUGGGAACUAGUCCUUCUUAGGCCCUCUGUCUGAUUUUCCUUUGGCUGGCUCUGAUUUCUUUACCUCCUGAACACCUGGGGCCAAGGCUCCUUUUCACAGCAGUUUGAAAGCCAUCCUUUCUUUUUGCUCUUUACUCAGUUCGGUCCAGCUCUUAAUCUUUGAACAGCAUCAAAUAUUCAUUGCUGUUUGACAAAGCUGGGGCUGGAGGGUCCAGCGUUUUCUAAAACAGAUCUUGCUUUACCAUUGGUGAUCCAGUGAGCCUUUCAGCAAGGCUGACUGUAAAUCAUCCAGGCUCAAUUAGUGUAUUUCAAAGAAAUACCCAGGUGUUGUUUGACCUUCAAACAUAUGGACUGCUGGAAUAAAUGAAAGUCUCGCCUGUUCCCAUCGUGCCGAGGGAACUAGAUGGGAAAAUGGGAGCAGUGUUUCAUGAAAUACAAGUGAUCUCAUAGAUUGUUAUAAGAACUUAUGAUAAAUGCUUCCUACGGUGCCUGUCCCAGAGUUAUAUAUACUUUGCCACAAAAAACAAGACAAGAAAAGAAAGGAAAGAGAACACUAGUAUAAUUGCCACACUGGACCAGGAAAAGAUGACUGCCAGCAGCCCAUGAGCUCCUACCUAUCACAACUCCCCAGGCUUCCCUGGAGAAUCAGGGUCUUUUCCAAUGAGUCAACUCUUCGAAUGAGGUGGCCAAAGUAUUGGAGUUUCAGCCUCAGUCAGCAUCAGUCCUUCCAGUGAACACCCAGGACCGGUCUCCUUUAGGAUGGAAUGAUUGGAUCUCCCUGCAGUCCAAGGGACUCUCGAGAGCCUUCUCCAGCAUCACAGCUAAAAAGCAUCAAUUCUUUGGCGCUCAGCUUUCGUCACAGUCCAACUCUCACAUCCAUACAUGACCAGUGGAAAAACCAUAGACUUGACUAGACGGACCUCUGUUGGCAAAGGAAUGUCUCUGCUUUUGAAUAUGCUAUCUAGGUUGGUCAUCUGAGUUAAAUUCACCCAUUCCAGUCCAUUUCAGUUCGCUGAUUCCUAGAAUGUCAACAUUCACUCUUGCCAUCUCUUGUUUGACCACUUCCAAUUUGCCUUGAUUCAUGGACCUGACAUUCCAGGUUCCUAUGCAAUAUUGCUCUUUACAGCAUUGGACCUUGCUUCUAUCUCCAGUCACAUCCACAGC
ensembl:lncRNA